CAUGGGCAGGUUGAAGCGUCGGUAAGACGACGUGGAGGACCGAACCCACUUAGGUUGAAAACUGAGGGGAUGAGUUGUGGGUAGGGGUGAAAGGCCAAUCAAACUCCGUGAUAGCUGGUUCUCCCCGAAAUGCAUUUAGGUGCAGCGUUGCGUGGUUCUUGUUGGAGGUAGAGCACUGGAUGGUCUAGGGGGCUUAUCGGCUUACCGAAAUCAGCCAAACUCCGAAUGCUGGCAAGUGUAGCGUGGCAGUGAGACGGCGGGGGAUAAGCUUCGUCGUCGAGAGGGAAACAGCCCAGAUCAUCAGCUAAGGCCCCUAAGUGGUGACUCAGUGGGAAAGGAUGUGGAGUUGCGUAGACAACCAGGAGGUUGGCUUGGAAGCAGCCAUCCUUGAAAGAGUGCGUAAUAGCUCACUGGUCAAGUGAUUCCGCGCCGAUAAUGUAGCGGG
rnacentral:rRNA from 1 species